CGCUAUACAUGCAGUCGAGCGAACAGAAGGGAGCUUGCUCCCGGAUGUUAGCGGCGGACGGGUGAGUAACACGUGGGUAACCUGCCUGUAAGACUGGGAUAACUCCGGGAAACCGGAGCUAAUACCGGAUAGUUCCUUGAACCGCAUGGUUCAAGGAUGAAAGACGGUUUCGGCUGUCACUUACAGAUGGACCCGCGGCGCAUUAGCUAGUUGGUGGGGUAAUGGCUCACCAAGGCGACGAUGCGUAGCCGACCUGAGAGGGUGAUCGGCCACACUGGGACUGANACACGGCCCAGACUCCUACGGGAGGCAGCAGUAGGGAAUCUUCCGCAAUGGACGAAAGUCUGACG
rnacentral:rRNA from 1 species